UACGUAGGGGGCAAGCGUUGUCCGGAUUUAUUGGGCGUAAAGAGCGCGCAGGCGGUCGUUCAAGUCGCGUGUGAAAGCCCCCGGCUCAACUGGGGAGGGUCACGCGAUACUGAUCGACUCGAAGGCAGGAGAGGGAAGUGGAAUUCCCGGUGUAGUGGUGAAAUGCGUAGAGAUCGGGAGGAACACCUGUGGCGAAGGCGGCCACCUGGGCCGACCCUGACGCUGAGGCGCGAAGGCGUGGGGAGCGAACGGG
rnacentral:rRNA from 1 species